UGGGGGUGUACCCAAGCGGCCAACGGGGUCAGACUGUAAAUCUGAUGGCUUAGCCUUCGUAGGUUCGAAUCCUGCCGCCCCCAU
rnacentral:tRNA from 1 species